rnacentral:rRNA from 1 species
UACGAAGGGGGCGAGCGUUGUUCGGAUUUACUGGGCGUAAAGGGCGCGCAGGCGGUCUUGAAAGUCAGGCGUGAAAGCCCCGGGCUUAACCUGGAAUUGCGCUUGAUACUCUGAGACUGGAGUACGGGAGAGGAGAGUGGAAUUCCCAGUGUAGAGGUGAAAUUCGUAGAUAUUGGGAAGAACACCAGUGGCGAAGGCGGCUCUCCUGGACCGUAACUGACGCCUGA